rnacentral:misc_RNA from 1 species
CGCACAUUGCGCCCCUUGGUAUUCCGAGGGGCAUGCCUGUUCGAGCGUCAUUUCAACCCUCAAGCUGGGCUUGGUAUUGGACGCGGUCUUAGGACCCGUCCGCAACCCGUUGGCGGUACCGUCCGGCCUCAAGCGUAGCAAAAACCUCGCUUUGAGAGCUCGUGGCGGGCGCCGCUAGAGGAACCACCACAUUUCUACAGUUUGACCUCGGAUCAGGUAGGGAUACCCGCUGAACUUAA